UAGGGAAUAUUGGUCAAUGGGUGAGAGCCUGAACCAGCCAUGCCGCGUGCAGGAAGACGGCCUUCUGGGUUGUAAACUGCUUUUAUAUGGGAAGAAAAGGCCCUUGCGAGGGACAUUGCCGGUACCAUAUGAAUAAGCACCGGCUAACUCCGUGCCAGCAGCCGCGGUAAUACGGAGGGUGCAAGCGUUGUCCGGAUUUAUUGGGUUUAAAGGGUGCGUAGGCGGAUCUUUAAGUCAGUGGUGAAAGCCUGCAGCUUAACUGUAGAACUGCCAUUGAUACUGGAGAUCUUGAGUAUACUAGAGGUAGGCGGAAUUUAUGGUGUAGCGGUGAAAUGCAUAGAUACCAUAAAGAACACCGAUAGCGUAGGCAGCUUACUGGAGUGUAACUGACGCUGAUGCACGAAAGCAUGGGUAGCGAACAGGAUUAGAUACCCCCGUAGUCC
rnacentral:rRNA from 1 species